GAUUUAUAUGUCAGUACCAAUUUAAUUAUAUAUAUAAUAGUCACUGACUUCUCACUAAUUUAAUAUAAGUAAAAGACACAAAUAAAUAAUAAUACAUAAAAUUGUAUGUCUACACAACACUCAUUCUGUACAAGGUACAUAUCUUAAUUAUCUAGUAACAAUAAUCUUACAAUAAUAAAAUGGAAAUAUACUCAAAGGAGAGGAUGUCCACGUCAGCUAAUAAAAUCAUCCAAUUAGAUGCUUCCUUUUUUAACAUGUUAUUCCAUCUUCACGUGAAACAAAUUAAAGGAGAGGGUGUCCAUAUUUACCCUAAUAUUCGUUAUAAUCGUCUUGACUCUUGACUCUUCCAUUUCAUUGUCGUCUUCUCAAGGCCAACUCGGUUACAACUCUAAUAAACACAAAACGAAAUCCCUUCGGAUAUCUUUCAGAACUCCAACAUCAUUACAAAGCUUACUUCUAUAAAUAGAGAACCUUCGAAGAAGAGAAAUUGAUACAAAGCCUGCGAAGAGACCCAAAAUGCAACGUUAUAGUCCUACAAACGCAGUAACACAUUUCAAUACCGAUUUAUUUUACGAACUCGGGCUAAAAGAUCUGCUAUGUGUUUUGAUUUUUUCCCUCUUAGUGAUGAUUGUAUUGUCAUCCUUAGAUGGUUUUCUUCGUUAAUUCAGGUCACAAAGUCGUUUGAACUUAAUAUGAGAGGUUUAAGAACUUCAUGAACAAUUUGUUUACUCAUCAAAUCUGAGGAGUCGAUAGGGAAUUUCCGGGUAAGGAAAAAAAGGCUCGGAUUAUUGCAUUCAUGAUACGACUACUCCACGGUUAUCUAUUUCCUGCUUACUAUAUUUAUUGCUUUGUCUUUGUAUCUUUUGUUUGUUUAUCAAUUUUUCCUUACUAUUGGAUUCUACAGGGUUCUUAUAUGAUAGCAGAUAUGGUGUUAUGUGCUUUGCCGAUCACGAUAAACAUGCAUUUGUCUAGAUGGUUGAGUUGAUUUCCACAGGCAACACACAAUGGAAGUUUCUGGGUGGUGUGCUCCUAGAGCGGUUAUUGUUCAGCAGGGUAUACGUAAUAUGCAGGUUUUGGAGAAACUAAUGGAGUAUCUUUAUGGUGACUUCGCCGUUACAAGAGCUCUUGGAGACUUUUCAGUGAAAAGGUACUCACCCAUUGGAGGAUCUUUGUCGCCUCUGAUCUCAGAUCUGGAUUUUAUGCAGAUGGUUCUAGCUGAGGAAGAUGAGUAAUUGAUUAUGCGAUUGGACAUAAUGACAAGCCAGUAUGCUGCUACAUUCGCCAUGCCAAUGCUCAGGAUACACGGUGACCCAAAAAAGUUGUGUGAUGGAACUUGGAAGGGAAGCAUUAAGGCUUGAGUCUGUCGAAUAAUGUUAUAGCUGUGGUCAUUCUGCGUCAUGCUGUCAUCACCAACUCAGAAGAAGAAUACAGUUUUGUGUUUCUUAUGAAUCUCGAGCCUGGUUGAUUACACGCUAUUAGUUUUGUAUAUAUGUGUUUGGUUGAGGAUGGAGAGCUUUUGGUAAAGUUUGUAUUUUAAAAUCAUGAAUUUUUAGUUUCCUAUCUUAUUUAUAGUUGUAUACAGACUACUGGUUUCUCUGUCUUUUUAUUGAAACAGCUUGAGAUCAAGGUAUUGUUUUACUAUA